rnacentral:misc_RNA from 1 species
GAAAUGCGAUAAGUAAUGCGAAUUGCAGAAUUUCCGUGAGUCAUCGAAUCUUUGAACGCACCUUGCGCUCCUUGGUAUUCCUUGGAGCAUGCCUGUUUGAGUAUCAUGAAAUCUUCAAAGUAAAUCUUUUGUUAACUCAAUUGGUUUCUACUUUGGUAUUGGAGGUCUUUGCAGCUUCACACCUGCUCCUCUUUGUUCAUUAGCUGGAUCUCAGUGUUAUGCUUGGUUCCACUCGGCGUGAUAAGUUAUCUAUCGCUGAGGACACUGUAAAAGGUAGCCAAGGUAAAUGCAGAUGAACCGCUUCUAAUAGUCCAUUGACUUGGACAAUACUUUUAUGAUCUGAUCUCAAAUCAGGUAGGACUACCCGCUGAACUUAAGC